GGAAUUUCUUCUUCUAUUAUGGUUUCAGAAAUUGGCUCUUCCUCCUGCUGGUCCUGAGGCACUCCAUGUUCAUCCUAAGAAAGGUCACUUGCUCUGGGGAAAGCCACCUGCCAUGCCGUGAGGACAUUCAAACUGCCUAUGGAGAGGUCCACAUAGUGAAAAACUAAGGCCCCUGCCAAAACCCAUGUGAGCCAUCUUGGAAACAGAUCCUUCAGCCCUAGGCAAGCCCUUAGAUAAUGUAGUGCCAGCCAACAUCUUGACAGCAGCCUGCAAGAGACUCUGAGUUAGAAACAACCAGCAAAGCCAUUCCUGAAUUCCUAAUCCUCAGAAUCAGCAUGAUAAUAGUAAAUGCUUAUUGUAAGUGCUGAGUUUGAGAGUGAUUUGUUUUUAGGUUUUUUCUUUUCUUUUUUUUUUUUUUUUUUUUUUU